GAGCUUGCUCCUUGGGUGACGAGCGGCGGACGGGUGAGUAAAGUCUGGGGAUCUGCCUGAUGGAGGGGGAUAACUACUGGAAACGGUAGCUAAUACCGCAUGACGUCUUCGGACCAAAGUGGGGGACCUUCGGGCCUCACGCCAUGAGAUGAACCCAGAUGGGAUUAGCUGGUAGGUGAGGUAACGGCUCACCUAGGCGACGAUCCCUAGCUGGUCUGAGAGGAUGACCAGCCACACUGGAACUGAGACACGGUCCAGACUCCUACGGGAGGCAGCAGUGGGGAAUAUUGCACAAUGGGGGAAACCCUGAUGCAGCCAUGCCGCGUGUGUGAAGAAGGCCUUCGGGUUGUAAAGCACUUUCAGCGGGGAGGAAGGCAAUAAACUUAAUAAGUUUGUUGAUUGACGUUACCCGCAGAAGAAGCACCGGCUAACUCCGUGCCAGCAGCCGCGGUAAUACGGAGGGUGCAAGCGUUAAUCGGAAUGACUGGGCGUAAAGCGCACGCAGGCGGUCUGUUAAGUUGGAUGUGAAAUCCCCGGGCUCAACCCGGGAACAGCAUUCAAAACUGACAGGCUAGAGUCUCGUAGAGGGGGGUAGAAUUCCAGGUGUAGCGGUGAAAUGCGUAGAGAUCUGGAGGAAUACCGGUGGCGAAGGCGGCCCCCUGGACGAAGACUGACGCUCAGGUGCGAAAGCGUGGGGAGCAAACAGGAUUAGAUACCCUGGUAGUCCACGCCGUAAACGAUGUCGACUUGGAGGCUGUGGUCUUGAACCGUGGCUUCCGGAGCUAACGCGUUAAGUCGACCGCCUGGGGAGUACGGCCGCAAGGUUAAAACUCAAAUGAAUUGACGGGGGCCCGCACAAGCGGUGGAGCAUGUGGUUUAAUUCGAUGCAACGCGAAGAACCUUACCUACUCUUGACAUCCAGAGAAGACUGUAGAGAUACGGUUGUGCCUUCGGGAGCUCUGAGACAGGUGCUGCAUGGCUGUCGUCAGCUCGUGUUGUGAAAUGUUGGGUUAAGUCCCGCAACGAGCGCAACCCUUAUCCUUUGUUGCCAGCGAUACGGUCGGGAACUCAAAGGAGACUGCCGGUGAUAAACCGGAGGAAGGUGGGGAUGACGUCAAGUCAUCAUGGCCCUUACGAGUAGGGCUACACACGUGCUACAAUGGCGCAUACAAAGAGAAGCGAGCCUGCGAGGGUGAGCGGACCUCAUAAAGUGCGUCGUAGUCCGGAUUGGAGUCUGCAACUCGACUCCAUGAAGUCGGAAUCGCUAGUAAUCGUAGAUCAGAAUGCUACGGUGAAUACGUUCCCGGGCCUUGUACACACCGCCCGUCACACCAUGGGAGUGGGUUGCAAAAGAAGUAGGUAGC
rnacentral:rRNA from 1 species